AUGAGAUCCGAAACUGCUCAUCAUAUGACAGUGUUUCAACAAAUCUGUGGUCCUUCUGGUAAGUUUGUUUCUACUCUCCUCCAUAUUUACUAUGACAAUUAUAGUGUUAUAUUGAUUUUAUAUAGUUUGAUUGAUUCAUUUUUCCAACUAUAUUACAUUUCCAACUACAUUUACAUUUCCAAAAGUGGACACAAAAAAUAUUACAUUUAGUAGACUAACUAGAGCAGAUUCUCCAAGAGACUUUUCUGAUUGGCUUUUGUCUUGGGAGCACUUCCCUAAUAUAUCAAUAUAUGAUUUUGCCAGAGGACUAGCUACACACCAAUCUUUGGGAACCAGAGAUUUUACCUUUUAGCCCUGAUGAAGGCAGACUUGCAGAACCAACCCCUGAAAACCUUCAGUUGGCUAAAGAAGGCAAGAUGACAAUGAUUUUGCCUUGAUUAAAAGUGAAAAUGGAAGAAAAGCAUCCCACUUGCCAUCGUCUAACUGAAUCUUCUGAGCAUUAUGCUCUAUAUGACCGCUUUUAUGAGUACAACACAAAAGACCCACAAGAUGUCCCUGAUAGUCCCUGAACUUAGUGGGUGGUUAAAUACCCAAACUGCAGAAUGUUCCGGUUAGUAUCAUUGUGAGGUUUUGUAACGGAGGCAAUAUGAAGCCAUUUAAAACCAUUUAAUCUGAAAAAUAAGUUAUGACAUAAUUCUACUUUUUCUUUUUUAGUGUUUAUAUAAUCAGAACAUGUUUAAAUGUUGGUGCAUGGUGACUUAGUGGUUAGCACGUUUGCCUCACACCUCCAGUGUUGCGGGUUCGAUUCCUGUACUGCCCUGUGUGUGCGGAGUUUGCAUGCUCUCCUCCGGCUGCGGGGGUCCAAUUCAGGCACUCCGGUUUCCUCCCCCGGUAGUUUGGGGGAGGCUGGGGUAGGCUGAUUGGCAUGUCCAAAGUGUCCGUAGAAUGGGUGUGUGAAUGUGUAUGCGAUUGUGCCCUGCUAUGAAUUGGCACCCUGCCUUGUGUCCUAUGCUCCCUGGGAUAGGCUCCAGCUUUCCUGCGACCCUGUAGGAUAAGAGGUAUAGAAAAUGCAUGAAUGUUUAAAUGUUCUGCUAAGUGUAACUUCAACAUCAACUGUCAAGUACUAGCACUCUGGUUUUUCAAUAUGAUGCCAAAUAAUCUUCACUAUUGGCUUGAUUCCCUCUAUAUCCCUGGCUUCAGUGAUGAACAUUUACAGGUUUUAUGAGUGAAAUGUUCACAGUUCAUGAGUUCGAGAUUAUGGUAGUUCUGUUUUGAACCAUAUUUCCCCCUUUUCUGGGUUGCUCUGUGGCUCCCUUUUCUUGCUUUAUGGCUUUAAGCACAAAAUACCUUUUUAUUUAUAUGACUGUUUAAUUUUAUAGUCCAAAAACAAUUUAUCUUCAUCUUCAUUCAAAUCUAUCUGUCAGGUUUUUAUUGUAUGUGUGUUUUUGAUGUUCCAAACUUCAAGCUUUUUAAAACUUUCAGACCAGGCUUUGUCAAGCAAACAUCUAAGUUUAUCUAGACAAACUUUAGCUAUAGUUUUGAUAUGUUUGACUUAAUAUUUCACUUCACGGACUAGCAAAACAUGUAAAUCCCGGGCCAUGGAUGGAGUACAGCUGAGAUGACUUUACAGUAUGCUGCAGAGGUUUUCAAACCUAAUAAACAUUCCACCAGCUUUUGAUGUUAGCAGUUCAUUUAAUAUGUUACAUUUAUUUUUAAAUUUUCAGGACAUUCCCAGACAACACAAUUCAAAUAGCUGUGGGGUAUUUCUGUUGAUAGUAAGUGACUCAGUGUUGUUCCUUAAAUCACACCAGAAAGAGUAUUUAAAACCUUAAAGAUAUCCUACUUCUGAAAGAUGUGUACAUGUGGUUUUGUGCUUGGUACCAAUCCAAUGCAAAACAAAUGUUAUUUUAGUAUACAACUGAGUAUUUCUUUCAUUUAUGCUCUUAUGUGCUCUUUAUGCUCUUAUUCAUGAGGGGGCAUUUUGAUAUUAAAUCCUAAUUGGAGGACAAGUUUGUUUAUCAUUACAUUAUCUUUGUGACCUUAUCUGUGCUCUCUUUUCCAGUCUGACAUGCAAGUAAUAAGAUGAUGAUGGUGCAUGCUUUUGCUGACAAACUAUCCUUUGAAAAGCAGUGGAAAUGCCACCUGAUGAUUUCUUGACUAAGGUGCAUAGGGUGAGGAUGACCCAGUCACAGGUUCCCAUCCGGGAUAUUUCUUUACAGUGUGGCCAAAGCCUUUUGGAUGCCUCUUUUGUAAAGGAAUGAGGCACUAACUGAACUCCAUGAAGGGGACCUUCACGCCACAAUACUGCCAAACAGGAAAGGCAAAUUUCAUUCCUCCAAUUAAACGACUGUCAAGGUACACAAAAUAAUGCUUAACACAUUAGCUGCUUCUCUAGACAAGCCUUAGACAUUUCCUGGUACUCUCAAUGCAUUUGACUUGAACUUUACAGAAUCACUCUGACAUCAGAAAGAACUAGUCAGCCAAUAGAGACGCCACUGUGUCAAAAGUAUCGAACUGGAGUGGACCAAACUAAAUAUCAAAAUUAUUUACUGGUGUCAAAUGGAGAUACAUUUAACUCUGUUAUACUAACAUUAACAUGACAGAAUUUUUAGUGUAAUGAUACAGUGUUAUUGACAUAUCAAUACACACCAGCAUGUAUUUAUGGAAUGCCCCCACGAGUGAAUAACAUUUAUUUUAUUAAAAUACAGAUUGCUGAGGUACAGACUAUUUAUUAGGAACUGGAGAUCAUUGGGGUGAUGGAAAAGGAGGACACUCUGAUACUGCUUGACAGCACCUCAGAGCACUGCACCGUGCCAACACGGUUAUACUCUGGAACCGUGGAGGACCUUAUCGAGUGGCUGCCAUUAACAAUCGAAGUGGAGCACAUUAAUAAAUGAUUGCUUAGUGUGGAGUAAAACAGUUGUAAAUAGUUUUUGUUUAAUUUAGUUUUUAUAGCGUUUAGUUUCAGCUGUUUAAGGUUGUUCAUUCAUCCUGUUUGUGUUAAUGUUUAGUGUUUAGUCUAACAAUCCUGUUGAGUUAUGUUUAUGCCUAGUGGAGUGUUGUUAUUUAUAUAAUCCUGUUUCUAUUUUAGAAAUAAAAUUUUAUCGCAAGUCACUAAGCCUGAUGCUUUUUUUCAAGUCCCCAGCACAAAUACAUAGAUAAACACAAACCCUUAAUGCUGCAUAGAUAUUAAAAAAAAGAUCUUUUUUUGCGACGUAACUUGCCGAGUUUUUGUACUUUUUUUGCGUAAAACUACUUGAAUUGGUGAAAUCGCAAUUGCACGCAACUGUUUUGCAUGGUCUUUCACAGCAAUGUUUGUUGAUAAAUGAGAGGUGCACACACGUGCAACGCACGGGAAUCAAAGAGGGCUUUGGCUGAAUGCACGUUGUAAUUACGUCACAUGACGCAUCGUGGCCCAAAAUUACAAGCUCCUCCGAAUAUUGCGGAGUAUGCUUGAUUCUGUGAUCGCGAAAUACAGGGGGGACUAAUUUAUUUAGCAGUGAAUAAGUUCAGCUAUUCUCUUUAACAUUUCACUUGAAAAUAGAAUCUCCCACCGAGAUAGCAAGCACAUUUGGGCCAAUUCCGGUAGAAAUGCGCCACUGUCAGCUCAAUGCCGGUAUCGGUGAAAAGGUAAUUGCCCAGAGCGCUGCCGACUGUCCAUACCACUUCUGGCUGACAGAGGGUUUUUGCUAUGUGGGCCAAUCUCGGCUGAAAGCAGGUGUAGUUGCGGCAGGUCCAUACUCAGUAUAGCUGUGUGUAUCUACUUUCGGCCCGAGUUCACAGUCUUUGAUCUCUUGUUCUUUGGGAUAACAACAGUCAGGAGACUCGGAGCGUUUGGCAUCGUCAUGACAAAUGCUGAUUCUCACAGCUCGACACUUUUUUUUAUAAAGUUUUUUUUAUUGCUCUACAACUAAGGCACAAACUUCUCGUUUAUUCCUCCCCUUUCCUCUUUUAGUACUUUUUAUUUUACUUUUUGUUCCGAUUGUCUUUUUUUCCUGAAUGUUUGGUUAGAAGUUCCUGGAACAUGGAGCUAAUGCUAAUUUAAUAUGUUGUGUCAGAAAACCCACACAGUUUGCAGCAUGCUGUGGUUCUGUUAUUAGAUCAUAUUAUCCACUUGGCAUGAUAACAGACCUGUUGUUCGGCUCAACUGUAUUUCUUAUGGUGUUUGUGCAAUUCUUAGCCUUAGUCUAGCAACAUACAAUUUUUUUUCUCAUAUUGAGUGAUCCUGAAGGGAUUGAAUAAUGUUUAAAUGCAACUGUAUUUUACAGACAGCUAUAAAGAGGGCAGGAGGAAAGCCACAGAGAGCAGGACCUGGUCAGACCUCCAGUCAUACACGGAAGUGUCUGGGCAAAGACCAGCAAGGAGGAGUGUCCGGAUUGGCCCCCCUGGAGGUCAGGAACAUUGUUUGUUCGACUCGGAGGAUGUGUGCCACACCACCUAAACAAAUUCUUCCACGUGCCCCCACUGUUAACUUCCCCACAGUCACCCCAAACACCACUUUCACCCCUGCUCCCACCACCACUUUACCAGCAGCACCACCACCAGCAGCACACGGCUCGUUCACAGAGAUGCUGCAGAACUGGCAGCCGAUGGACGAUAUGCCAUCGCUGCCAGGCUGCCAGACUUUACGAGGGGCCCCCAGCAAUCAUCAGAACCAGAAUAUCGCGCCCAAGUAAUGGAAGUAGCAGGAGAAUCCCAAGUCGGAAAGUUUCGUUACUACUGGGACUUCCCGACAUCGGUAGAGUACUACGCCUGGCAGC